GACGAACGCUGGCGGCGUGCUUAACACAUGCAAGUCGAACGGAGCACCCUUGACUGAGGUUUCGGCCAAAUGAUAGGAAUGCUUAGUGGCGGACUGGUGAGUAACGCGUGAGGAACCUGCCUUUCAGAGGGGGACAACAGUUGGAAACGACUGCUAAUACCGCAUGACGCAUUUUGAUCGCAUGGUCGAAAUGCCAAAGAUUUAUCGCUGAAAGAUGGCCUCGCGUCUGGUUAGCUAGUUGGGGAGGUAACGGCCCACCAAGGCGACGAUCAGUAGCCGGACUGAGAGGUUGACCGGCCACAUUGGGACUGAGAUACGGCCCAGACUCCUACGGGAGGCAGCAGUGGGGAAUAUUGGGCAAUGGGCGCAAGCCUGACCCAGCAACGCCGCGUGAAGGAAGAAGGCUUUCGGGUUGUAAACUUCUUUUAAGUGGGAAGAGCAGAAGACGGUACCACUUGAAUAAGCCACGACUAACUACGUGCCAGCCGCCGCGGUAA
rnacentral:rRNA from 1 species